rnacentral:rRNA from 1 species
UGGGGUUGAAAAGCAUUUUUGUCCGGAAAAAAAUCCUUGGUUCUUAAUAUGGCCGGGGGAUGACGGUACCGGAAGAAUAAGCACCGGCAACUACGUGCCAGCAGCCGCGGUAAUACGUAGGGUGCGAGCGUUAAUCGGAAUUACUGGGCGUAAAGCGUGCGCAGGCGGUUCGCUAAGACCGAUGUGAAAUCCCCGGGCUUAACCUGGGAACUGCAUUGGUGACUGGCGAGCUAGAGUGUGGCAGAGGGGGGUAGAAUUCCACGUGUAGCAGUGAAAUGCGUAGAGAUGUGGAGGAAUACCGAUGGCGAAGGCAGCCCCCUGGGCUAACACUGACGCUCAUGCACGAAAGCGUGGGGAGCAAACAGGAUUAGAUACCCUGGUAGUCCACGCCCUAAACGAUGUCAACUAGUUGUUGGGGAUUCAUUUCCUUAGUAACGUAGCUAACGCGUGAAGUUGACCGCCUGGGGAGUACGGUCGCAAGAUUAAAACUCAAAGGAAUUGACGGGGACCCGCACAAGCGGUGGAUGAUGUGGAUUAAUUCGGUGCAACGCGAAAAACCUUACCUACCCUUGACAUGGACGGAAUCCCGCUG